GAUGAACGCUGGCGGCGUGCCUAAUACAUGCAAGUCGAGCGAACAGACGAGGAGCUUGCUCCUCUGACGUUAGCGGCGGACGGGUGAGUAACACGUGGAUAACCUACCUAUAAGACUGGGAUAACUUCGGGAAACCGGAGCUAAUACCGGAUAAUAUAUUGAACCGCAUGGUUCAAUAGUGAAAGACGGUUUUGCUGUCACUUAUAGAUGGAUCCGCGCCGCAUUAGCUAGUUGGUAAGGUAACGGCUUACCAAGGCGACGAUGCGUAGCCGACCUGAGAGGGGGAUCGGCCACACUGGAACUGAGACCCGGUCCAGACUCCUACGGGAGGCAGCAGUAGGGAAUCUUCCGCAAUGGGCGAAAGCCUGACGGAGCAACGCCGCGUGAGUGAUGAAGGUCUUCGGAUCGUAAAACUCUGUUAUUAGGGAAGAACAAAUGUGUAAGUAACUAUGCACGUCUUGACGGUACCUAAUCAGAAAGCCACGGCUAACUACGU
rnacentral:rRNA from 1 species